rnacentral:rRNA from 1 species
AAUAGAUACCCGGGUAGUCCACGCCGUAAACGAUGAGUGCUAAGUGUUAGAGGGUUUCCGCCCUUUAGUGCUGAAGUUAACGCAUUAAGCACUCCGCCUGGGGAGUACGGCCGCAAGGCUGAAACUCGAAAGGAAUUGACGGGGGCCCGCACAAGCGGUGGAGCAUGUGGUUUAAUUCGAAGCAACGCGAAGAACCUUACCAGGUCUUGACAUCCUCUGACAACCCUAGAGAUAGGGCUUCUCCUUCGGGAGCAGAGUGACAGGUGGUGCAUGGUUGUCGUCAGCUCGUGUCGUGAGAUGUUGGGUUAAGUCCCGCAACGAGCGCAACCCUUGAUCUUAGUUGCCAUCAUUUAGUUGGGCACUCUAAGGUGACUGCCGGUGACAAACCGGAGGAAGGUGGGGAUGACGUCAAAUCAUCAUGCCCCUUAUGACCUGGGCUACACACGUGCUACAAUGGACGGUACAAAGAGCUGCAAGACCGCGAGGUGGAGCUAAUCUCAUAAAACCGUUCUCAGUUCGGAUUGUAGG